rnacentral:rRNA from 1 species
AGAACGAACGCUGGCGGCAUGCCUAAUACAUGCAAGUCGAACGAACUCUUCGGAGUUAGUGGCGCACGGGUGCGUAACGCGUGGGGAUCUGCCCUUGGGUUCGGAAUAACAGCGAGAAAUUGCUGCUAAUACCGGAUGAUGACGUAAGUCCAAAGAUUUAUCGCCCAAGGAUGAGCCCGCGUAGGAUUAGCUUGUUGGUGAGGUAAGAGCUCACCAAGGCGACGAUCCUUAGCUGGUCUGAGAGGAUGAUCAGCCACACUGGGACUGAGACACGGCCCAGACCUCCUACGGGGAGCAGCAGGUGGGGAAUAGUUGGACAAGUGGG